GGCCUACCCCAUAGCUAUUGCUGUGGCAGGGUCGAAAAUCCCGAUGAAGAUACUGAACCCCACGUUCAGCGACUCUUCAUCGGGUCAUAUCGGGAAACCGGUAUGUGGUCGCAAGACC
rnacentral:sRNA from 12 species